rnacentral:piRNA from 1 species
UACCAACAGGCUCAUUUGCCGUGCACAUGGU